GCAGUAGCCGCGGUAAUACGAAGGGGGCUAGCGUUGUUCGGAAUUACUGGGCGUAAAGGGCGCGUAGGCGGCCAUUCAAGUUAGAUGUGAAAGCCCUGGGCUCAACCUAGGAAUUGCAUUUGAUACUGUUUGGCUUGAGUUCGGGAGAGGUGAGUGGAAUUCCCAGUGUAGAGGUGAAAUUCGUAGAUAUUGGGAAGAACACCAGUGGCGAAGGCGGCUCACUGGACCGACACUGACGCUGAGGCGCGAAAGCGUGGGGAGCAAACAGGAUUAGAUACCCGCGUAGUCCCUGUCUCUUAUAC
rnacentral:rRNA from 1 species